GACGUACUGCGCGAACGUUAUUCGGAAUCACUGGGCUUAAAGGGUGCGCAGGCGGCUCGCGAAGCCCGAAGUGAAAGGUCCCGGCCCAACCGGGGACGUGCUUCGGGGACUCGCGGGCUCGGGCGAGCUAGGGGUCCGUGGAACUCCCGGUGGAGCGGUGAAAUGUGUUGAGAUCGGGAGGAACGCCGGUGGCGAAAGCGACGGACUGGGGCUUUGCCGACGCUCAGGCACGAAAGCCAGGGGAGCGAACGGG
rnacentral:rRNA from 1 species